GAUGAACGCUAGCGGCAGGCCUAAUACAUGCAAGACGAACGGUAAGUUGAGUAGCAAUACUUAGCCAAGAGUGUCGUACGGGUGCGUAACACGUAUGCAACCUACCCUAUACAGGAGGAUAGCCUAGGGAAACCUGGAUUAACCCUUCAUAGUAUUAUUGGAUGGCAUCAUUUGAUAAUUAAAACUGAGGUGGUAUAGGAUGGGCAUGCGUCUGAUUAGUUAGUUGGCGGGGUAAUGGCCCACCAAGACGAUGAUCAGUAGGGGUUCUGAGAGGAAGAUCCCCCCACACUGGCACUGAGAUACGGGCCAGACUCCUACGGGAGGCAGCAGUAGGGAAUAUUGGUCAAUGGAUGCAAGUCUGAACCAGCCAUGCCGCGUGCAGGAAGAAGGCCUUCUGGGUUGUAAACUGCUUUUGCCAGGGGAUAAAAUUUCCAUGCGUGGAAAACUGAAGGUACCUGGUGAAUAAGCCACGGCUAACUACGUGCCAGCAGCCGCGGUAAU
rnacentral:rRNA from 1 species